rnacentral:misc_RNA from 1 species
CCGAGUUUACAACUCCCGAACCCCUGUGAACAUACCACUUGUUGCCUCGGCGGAUCAGCCCGCUCCCGGUAAAACGGGACGGCCCGCCAGAGGACCCCUAAACUCUGUUUCUAUAUGUAACUUCUGAGUAAAACCAUAAAUAAAUCA